rnacentral:rRNA from 1 species
AGGCCUUGCGCUCUUUGAGCGGCCGAUAUCAGAUUAGCUAGUUGGUGAGGUAAAGGCUCACCAAGGCGACGAUCUGUAGCGGGUCUGAGAGGAUGAUCCGCCACACUGGAACUGAGACACGGUCCAGACUCCUACGGGAGGCAGCAGUGGGGAAUUUUGGACAAUGGGGGCAACCCUGAUCCAGCCAUGCCGCGUGAGUGAAGAAGGCCUUCGGGUUGUAAAGCUCUUUCGGCCGGGAAGAAAUCGCAUGGGCUAAUACCCUGUGCGGAUGACGGUACCGGCAUAAGAAGCACCGGCUAACUACGUGCCAGCAGCCGCGGUAAUACGUAGGGUGCGAGCGUUAAUCGGAAUUACUGGGCGUAAAGCGUGCGCAGGCGGUUUUGUAAGACAGGCGUGAAAUCCCCGGGCUCAACCUGGGAACUGCGUUUGUGACUGCAAGGCUAGAGUACGGCAGAGGGGGGUGGAAUUCCACGUGUAGCAGUGAAAUGCGUAGAGAUGUGGAGGAACACCAAUGGCGAAGGCAGCCCCCUGGGUCGAUACUGACGCUCAUGCACGAAAGCGUGGGUAGCAAACAGGAUUAGAUACCCUGGUAGUCCACGCCCUAAACGAUGUCAACUAGGUGUUGGGUGGGUAAAACCAUUUAGUACCGGAGCUAACGCGUGAAGUUGACCGCCUGGGGAGUACGGCCGCAAGGUUAAAACUCAAAGGAAUUGACGGGGACCCGCACAAGCGGUGGAUGAUGUGGAUUAAUUCGAUGCAACGCGAAGAACCUUACCAGGGCUGGAACACGAGGAAAACCCUGCGAAAGCAGGGCUGGUCGCAAGACCGCCGAAGUGAGGUGCUGCAUGGCUGUCGUCAGCUCGUGUCGUGAGAUGUUGGGUUAAGUCCCGCAACGAGCGCAACCCUUGUCACUAGUUACCAGCGCGUCAUGGCGGGGACUCUAGUGAGACUGCCGGCGUAAGCCGGAGGAAGGUGGGGAUGACGUCAAGUCAUCAUGGCCCUUACGUCCUGGGCUACACACGUACUACAAUGGCUUGGACAACGCGCACCUACAUCGCGAGAUGAAGGAAAUCGCUUAAACCAGGCCUCAGUUCAGAUCGGAGUCUGCAACCCGACUCCGUGAAGUUGGAAUCGCUAGUAAUCGCGGGUCAGCCAUACCGCGGUGAAUACGUUCCCGGGCCUUGUACACACCGCCCGUCACACCACGAAGGUCGGUUACACCAGAAGUCGCUGUCGGAACCCGUAAGGGGCCAAGGUGCCAAAGGUAUGACCGGUGAUUGGGGUGAAGUCGUAACAAGGUA